GCUAGGUGCGGUGGUGCAUGCCUGUAGUCCCAGCUACUCGGGAGGCUGAGGCAGGAGAAUCACUUGAGCCUAGGAGUCUGAAGCUGCAGUGAGCCAAGAUCGUGCCACUGCACUCCAGCCUGGGCAACAGAGUGAGACCCUGUUUCUA
rnacentral:SRP_RNA from 1 species